rnacentral:rRNA from 1 species
CGGGUGAGUAAUGCGUGACCAACCUGCCCCAUGCUCCAGAAUAGCUCUUGGAAACGGGUGGUAAUGCUGGAUGCUCCAACUUGACGCAUGUCUUGUUGGGAAAGUGUUUAGUGGCAUGGGAUGGGGUCGCGUCCUAUCAGCUUGUAGGCGGGGUAAUGGCCCACCUAGGCUUCGACGGGUAGCCGGCCUGAGAGGGCGGACGGCCACAUUGGGACUGAGAUGCGGCCCAGACUCCUACGGGAGGCAGCAGGC